UACAAAACAAGGUGGCCACUAUUCCCAUUAUCCAUUCUUCACAGGAUGGUUCUUUUCUACAGCUAUUGCAUCUUGCUUCGCUGUUAGGGAUACUAAAAUGCAUCUACAGGUUUUUUAGACAUUCUUUAAGCUCCUUGCCCAUUCUUCAGCAACCCAUUUGUUCAAUUCCUUUGAGUACAUGGGUUCCAAAAAUUGGGGAGUAGAAGCCAUUUGCAAUGUUUAGGUCAAAUGCGUCUCUUAGUGCUGCUUUAACUUUAUUAGUUCAAGUUGGAGUUAAUUCGA